rnacentral:rRNA from 2 species
CAGCAGCCGCGGUAAUACGGAGGGUGCGAGCGUUAAUCGGAAUUACUGGGCGUAAAGCGCGCGUAGGCGGUUAGUUAAGUCGGAUGUGAAAGCCCCGGGCUCAACCUGGGAACUGCAUUCGAUACUGGCCAACUAGAGUACGAGAGAGGGAGGUAGAAUUCCAUGUGUAGCGGUGAAAUGCGUAGAUAUGUGGAGGAAUACCAGUGGCGAAGGCGGCCUCCUGGCUCGAUACUGACGCUGAGGUGCGAAAGCGUGGGGAGCAAACAGGAUUAGAUACCUUGGUAGUCCACGCCGUAAACGAUGUCUACUAGCCGUUGGGAGACUUGAUUUCUUAGUGGCGCAGCUAACGCAAUAAGUAGACCGCCUGGGGAGUACGGCCGCAAGGUUAAAACUCAAAUGAAUUGACGGGGGCCCGCACAAGCGGUGGAGCAUGUGGUUUAAUUCGAUGCAACGCGAAGAACCUUACCAGGUCUUGACAUCCUGCGAAUUUUCUAGAGAUAGAUUAGUGCCUUCGGGAACGCAGUGACAGGUGCUGCAUGGCUGUCGUCAGCUCGUGUCGUGAGAGUUUGGGUUAAGUCCCGUAACGAGCGCAACCCUUGUCCUUAA